rnacentral:rRNA from 1 species
CUACGGGCUGCUCCAGUGGGGAAUAUUGGACAAUGGGCGCAAGCCUGAUCCAGCAAUGCCGCGUGAGUGAAGACGGCCUUAGGGUUGUAAAACUCUUUCGCUAGGGAAGAUAAUGACUGUACCUAGUAAAGAAGUCCCGGCUAACUCCGUGCCUGCAGCCGCGGUAAUACGGAGGGGACUAGCGUUGUUCGGAAUUACUGGGCGUAAAGAGUUCGUAGGCGGACUGACAAGUUAGAGGUGAAAUCCCAGGGCUCAACCCUGGAACUGCCUUUAAAACUGUCAGUCUAGAGACCGGAAGAGGUUAGGGGAAUACCUAGUGUAGAGGUGAAAUUCGUAGAUAUUAGGUGGAACACCAGUGGCGAAGGCGCCUAACUGGUCCGGUACUGACGCUGAGGAACGAAAGCGUGGGGAGCAAACAGGAUUAGAUACCCGUGUAGUC